AAUAGAUUUAACCAUUAAGGAAUAACAACAAUCUCCAUGAGUUGGUAGUUUCGGUUGGGGUGACCUCGGAGAAUAAAAAAUCCUCCGAGCGAUUUUAAAGACUAGACCCACAAGUCAAAUCACUCUAUCGCUCAUUGAUCCAAAAACUUGAUCAACGGAACAAGUUACCCUAGGGAUAACAGCGCAAUCCUAUUCAAGAGUCCAUAUCGACAAUAGGGUUUACGACCUCGAUGUUGGAUCAGGACAUCCUGAUGGUGCAACCGCUAUCAAAGGUUCGUUUGUUCAACGAUUAAAGUCCUACGUGAUCUGAGUUCAGACCGGAGUAAUCCAGGUCGGUUUCUAUCUAUUACGUAUUUCUCCCAGUACGAAAGGACAAGAGAAAUAAGGCCAACUUUAAAUCAAGCGCCUUAAGACAACCAAUGAUAACAUCUCAACUGACAACACAAAACCCUGCCCUAGAACAGGGCUUAGUUAAGGUGGCAGAGCCCGGUAAUUGCAUAAAACUUAAACUUUUAUAUCCAGAGAUUCAAAUCCUCUCCUUAACAAAAUGUUCAUAAUUAACAUCUUAAUACUAAUUAUUCCCAUCCUAUUGGCCGUAGCAUUCCUUACGUUAGUGGAACGAAAAGUUCUAGGCUAUAUACAACUCCGAAAAGGUCCAAAUGUCGUAGGUCCAUAUGGCCUACUUCAACCCAUCGCCGAUGCAAUCAAACUUUUCAUUAA
rnacentral:rRNA from 1 species